GAUGAACGCUGGCGGCGUGCCUAAUACAUGCAAGUCGAGCGAACAGACGAGGAGCUUGCUCCGCUGACGUUAGCGGCGGACGGGUGAGUAACACGUGGAUAACCUACCUAUAAGACUGGGAUAACUUGGGGAAACCGGAGCUAAUACCGGAUAAUAUAUUGAACCGCAGGGUGCAAUAGUGAAAGACGGUGUUGCUGUCACUUAUAGAUGGAUCCGCGCCGCAUUAGCUGGUUGGUAAGGUAACCGCUUACCAAGGCAACGAGGCGUAGCCGACCGGAGAGAGGGAUAGCCGACCCGGGAGCUUAGCCAGCGACCAGACGCCUGAGGGAGGCAGCAGUAGGGAAUCUUCCGCAAUGGGCGAAAGCAUGACGGAGCAACGCGGCGUGAGUGAUGACGGUCUUCGGAGCGUAAAACUCUGUUAUUAGGGAAGAACAAAUGUGUAAGUAACUAUGCACGUAGUGACGGUACCUAAUCAGAAAGCCACGGCUAACUACGUG
rnacentral:rRNA from 1 species